UUUGAUUUAGAAAAGGAGAGUGCCUGUUUUACAAAAGAACAAAAGAACAAUUCUUUUCCCAAAUUAAACAGAAAUAAAUAUAUGGUAACUGAUGGAGCAGCUUACAUUGGGAAUUUUGAUUGGGUAGGAAAUGAUUUUACCCAGAAUGCUGGCACAGGCCUUGUUAUCAACCAAGCAGAUGUGGAAAACAGCACAAGCAUCAUCAGGCAACUUAAAGGGGUGUUUGAAAGGGACUGGUAUUCACCGUAUGCCAAAAAUUUACAACCAACUAAACAACCAAAUUGCUCCAGCCACAAACUUAACAAAUUGACAACAAACAAGACUGCUGUAGCAUACAAUACAAGUGAGAAUGACCCCUUGAGUGUACAACAUGAAUGAAGACACCUGACAGGAUGGACAGAUUAACAUUUCAUAUCUACUAAUAAAAAACUAGGGGAGAUGAGGAAGCCAAAAAAAGUUUUUUAAGGAAAAAGCACACAUCAAAAAUGUUCUCUAAACUGCAUACAAUAAUAUCUAUAUAACUAUAUUAUAGCUCUAUAUACUACGAUUUAAGACUUUUAUAUUUGUUACUUCUGACAAUGAAUGUUGUUUCUGCUUAGAGGUUAGUUUUCAAGUUUUACAUUUGAAUUUAAAGAUUUCACUUCUCUUCCUGUUUCCUUGCCUGAUUAUCACCACAAGAUCUGAGGAGAAAUGAAGGUGAGCUCUGUGAUGACUCUUCGAGAUCUGUUGACUUACACAGGAUGGGGGUAUUUCACCUUGGAAAGGAUACCAGUAGGAUCACAUAAAUCACUCUCUGUACCUGUUCUACCAUACCAACAUCCAAGCAUUAUUGGCUUAUGUUUAUAUACCAUCCUCCAAAAAAUAUACAAAACAAUACCAUUUGGUUUUCUCACUCAGUUCCUUCCAGUAGUGUAGGUUUUAUAUUCUCUUCACCCCUUAUAAAAUUUUCGUGUUCUAUAGAUAGAUUUCUUCUAAAUUCUAUUAUGUUCAUUCUCUACAACAUUAAUUUUGAGUGUGGUAUCUUUUGCAAAUGCCUUAUUCCUCUGAAUGACUGUACAAAGGAAAUGGAAGUCUUCAAUUUUCACUUUUCAACUGUGCUUUUUUUACUAAAUUGGUAUUUUUGAACUGCAACCUUCAAUACAUUGAAUAUUUUUGCAUGUUCCAAAAGUCAGGUGGAUUCCCAAUUUGGAAAAAAACCAAAACAAAACAAAACAAAACAAUUAAUCACUACUAGUUCCCAAUGUUAGGUAAAGCCAGAUUUGGUUUGAGACUGUUUGAGUUUGGACUGGGGAAGGGAGAAGGAGAUAUUUAUUGUACAUUUUUAAAGCAUCUGGUAUUAUGGAAGAAAGACCUUUGUGGAACAAUUAUUUUAGUUUGCUUAGAAUCAUUAAGAUGCUUUUGAGAAUAAGUCAGCAAAAGUUUGUAGCAUUUUUCCUCUCUAGUCAUUUAAGAUACCAAAUGCUUUUCAGAGAAAUGCAAUUUUAAAACUAUGCUUUCCAUAUUUUACUAAUCAGCAUAGGGAUGCUGAUUAGGCUUGUUGUUCUAUAAUCUCGUUGUGUGUCAUUUUAUAAAUAUACAAUAUAGACCCAUAAAUAUAUUAAUAGAGGCUGUUGUCACAUGAGAGAGGCAUGGUCUAGUCCAAGCACAUAGUUGGCAGCCAGGACAAAAGAGUCCCAGAUCUCCUCCUGACUCCUUCUAUAGCUAGAGACAAGAUACAUCACCCCUUUGCCUCCAGUUUCUAUUGGUAACGUAGGGACAGUAAUACCCACCUACCUCACAGAGAUGCUGUGAGGGUUAGGAACUAUUUACAGUGUUUUGAAAUCAAAAGAGCCUAUAUAAAUGCUAAGCAUUAUUACAUAUAAUCUUCUUUCUUGGGAUCACCUUGGUAAUAUCCUAAUAUAAUAAUUAUAAAGUUCUUCCUGAAGAACUCGUGGAGGAACAAACCAUGUCUUCAAAGCUGCAGAUUUGGAUGAAAAAUCUCAUGGAGACGUAAAAACCCUAACAGAAGUUUGAAUUAUCAAGAAUGCUGGGAAAGCAUUUGAGUAGAACAUUUUGGCAUGUCAUUUUGUCUCAAUGUGUAGUAAUAUCAACAUGGAACACUGUGCUAGUCAUCUUUGAAAACAAUAAACCAAUUUGUUUUCAGAAUAAGAGAAAGCAUUCUCACCAACCACAAUGCUUCUUUUUCAACUACUUGGUUCUUACCAUGCCAGAAGAAACAGAGAUGUAUAUACAUCCAUUUUAUCAGCUGGAUCCUGGUCCUAAAGAAUGACUGAUGAUUUGUCUCACUACUGUAAAACUUUCUGAUUGUUUUAAAAUAAUGUUUGGUUGGAUGUGUCAACCAGUUUGAAAAUGGUGCACGUGCUAGAAUUGUAUUUUUUCAAAGACUACUGUACUUUUAUGAAAGAAUUUGAUUUUUUUUUAAGGUCUGUGGGUUUUAAUGACAUUCUUUAUCAUUAAUGGCCAGUCUAUCCAGCUUGAAUAUUUAACACAGAUUCCAUUUAUUGUAGGGUGCUACAUGGAGAGCUUUGAUAUAAUGCAGGGAUCAAUAACCAUUCCAUUAAAGUCCAGUAAGGUUUGAUAAGUUAGCUUACAUAAAAAUACAAAGGGAAAAAAAAUCUAAGAGUACCCUUGAACUAAAUAGAGAGAGCCUGAGUUUAGAUCUGCAAAGGACAGUUCUAAAGGGAGAAGGGAGCAGCUGGUUCCACUGGGACAGCACUGUUUUAGUUCUAGAGAGAGAGGUGAGAAACACCACACAAGCUCUCUUGGAAUAGCUACAGUGAAGAGAUAUGGUUGAAGUAACAGAGGGGUGGAUGAGGGAGGAGAGGAGGGAGUACAGAUACCCUUUGCACAUGUGAAGAGAGAUAUUGUACUGGCUGGGAACUGCAACUUACCUCCCUACCCUGACCAGGUAGAAUCAUCACAUCCUAGAUUGUGUCCAGAAUCUACUUUUGCCCUUGUAACAAUAGCAAUAUUUCCACCCUAAUGGUCCCAUGAUAUAUAGUGCAGGGACUUUCUAAUCUGAACAUAUUUGGCAAUGGGAGGUUGGUGAAGAAGACAACAUUUACAUCAUUCAGCUUCUUAGAAGAUUGUGCCUGGGCAAUGAUAUGCAGAAAAUUACUAUGCAGAAAACAUUGUUUUCUGUAGUAUUUUCAUUUGCUUUUCUAUAUGGGAGGCAUGGGGCAUGGGUCCCACUACUUCUGUGCGAAAUGGCUUAUUAUUUCCUUUUUGGCUUUGAAGAUCCUACUUCCCAUCAGAAGAAGGCUAGAGGAGAUUGUUUUAUUCCCUAAGUGUAAUCUCAAAUUCUACAAGAAUCAUCAAGAAGGCACCUUUUUUUCCUAAUAAGAGUAGUUUGGUUGACUUCAGAGAUGAUUCUCCCAAGAAAAGCAAAAUGAAAGAUGGUUAUUAAUUGGGAAUAUAUGAAAGACUUGUGUGCUGCAAAUAUUGACUAGUGCCUUAUUCAUCCUCAAGCAUUGAGUUCAAAUAAUGAUUAAUUAUACAUAGGUAAUCAUUCAGUUCAAUUUGAUAUCACUUGUUGAGAAAAAAAGAAGAAAAAAAAGAUUGAGGGACUUUCUAUUUUAGCCUUGCAGAUAAAUACUCCAACGUUUACAAGCCCUCUAACUCUUUCAACCAGCCUAUCUUUCUUCUAAGUCAUACCCCUGUAUUAUACAAUCAAAUUCAAUGACCUGUUUUGUUUUUUUGUUGUUGAUGUUCCCAUUGUCAUGCCAUGCACUGCAAUUGGGCCUUGAAACAAGCAUUUAAAAGGUUAAUUUAAUCAUAAAUCAGUGGUUCAAAGACUCUGAUAGAAUAUGUAUACUCAUUUUCUGCUAUUGUUCAUGAAUCAUAGAAUCUUAAGGGUUAGUAAGGACUUCAAAAAAUCUAACCCCUAUUUGAAGCAUGAAUCCUCUCUUUGACAUCCUUGAUAAGUGGACACCUCCAGUGAAGUGGACCUUAGGACUCCAUGACUUGGUGUGGUGCUCAUCCCUGAAUGUGAUGAAAUAAAUACAUAUUAAAAAUUUCUACCAAGACACCUCUGUCUUUCAAGAAAAACAUACAAUGAUGUUUUGUGGAAUUCUGGGGUUCAGUGGGUCAUAGAAAAUACAUGUUAACAGACAUCAAAAGAGACUAAGAAUCUCUAAAUAUGCAACUUUGAGAACUAAGAAAAUACUCCCAGUUAUAUAACACUCCCCCAUCUUAAAGCUCAUGGAGCAUUUUCCAACAAGGCUGUAUUUAUAUGUAUCUCAUUUUCAUUUUGGUUUGGACUGAGAUAGGUUCAAACAUUUUGUUUGUUCUUACCCUUUUAACUUUUUUCUUAAAUGCAAUUACUGAGGGUUUUGUUGUUGGUUUUUUUUUUUUUUAAGUGCAUCACUGAGCCCUAGAAAUUGAAUGAUACUCUUUGCCUAUCACUUGUGGCUAUAGUUCAGUAAUUCAUUUGGGACAUCAGACUAUGAUCUGAUUGUUUUGCUCUAAGAAUACUUAGUAGAAUACAAGAUGCAGAAAACAUCAGAAUGCAAAAAUUGCUAAGCAGGGUCAAACCUACAGUAUAUCCUGCCCAAUAAUUCUGCAUUAGAAUUUACGUUUACAGGGUUAUCUGGUUUUUUUUUUUUUCAAUCUGUACAUGUGAUUUAAUCAAAGCUUGUGACGCCCCAGUAUGGAAACUCUUUCCAUUAGUGCAGUUCAGUAAAUCAUCUAUUACUUAGUCAUUGAAUCUUAGAGAAUAAAAUGGUGGGAAUGAGAGGUUAAAUGACAAUCCACAGUCACACAGACAGCAUGUCAGAAGUAGAAUUUGAAUCCAAAUGUACUAUAUCACACUCCCUCUCUUCCUAAAUUUGCCAGUCUGAAAUUCAUUCCAGUAUUUUUGAAGCUUCUGGAACGCUGUUUGAACUCUAAACCAGAACCAUCUUCCUCUGAAAAAUGAGAUGCUUGUUGUUGGUUGUUCAAACAUAAGUCCCCUAAAAAGAAUUUUGCGUAUUCUUAAUAAAUAUUUCACUCACUUUAUACCCUUUAUUCCUAAUGUCAGCCUUUUAGAGAAGAUGUACUUUAUCUUCAACCUUCUGGGAAGCAAAAUUAAUCUGACUUCCCUUUAACUAAAGACAGGCUAAAUACAUUUUUUCUAUUCUUUUCCCCCAUGCAAUAUAAUUUUGCUUCUUUUCCUAAAUAGGAACUAUUACUCUUUUCCUGCUCUAUUUUGAUAACCAAAUUGCUGUUUGCCACUUCUGGUUUAUUCAUUUAAAAUUGCUGAAAGGCUUAAAUAAACGUUGGACUCAGAUGGAGCUUGCAGCCUGGCAUUCCCAUUUGGGAAAAUUCAUAUCUUCAGCAGAAUUGCAAUCAUAGUUUUAUGUAAUAGCCAGCCAGCCAGUCUAUGUAGCAUAGUUUCUUGGACCCUUAAAAACUGUGUUUCCUUCACUUUAUGUGGACCAUGAACAAUACUGCAGGUCCAGAAUUCUUCAAGAUGAAUCCUGUUACAUAAGUAAUUUUAGAUACCUAUCUGAAAAAAAAGUAUGAGUUUUGAUAAGCUGGAUAAGUGUUUGCUUUUGCUAUGUUAACAACUUUCUAUUCUGUUAUAAAUAUCUUGAAUUUGUAAAUGCAUCUUUAUUAUACCGAUGAAAUAAAGUUGUAUCUCAGUCUAUGUAGGGACACAAAAGUAACCCUUGAAUUCAUAUACGAGUUGGUAAAAUAAAGGCUGGGGUUGGGAGAUAGUUAUAAAUCUUCUCAAUUCUUUCAUACAACUGAGCACUAAACUUUGUAGAAUAAAGUAUCAAAAUGAAGGCUUUUUCAUAUUGUAACAUGAGGCAUGUCUUCUUUUUCAUCAUAUCUUGGUCUCAGAAACCAGAUUAGAUGUCAAUUACCAUCUUAUCUCAUAAGUGACUGAAAAGAAUAAGGUCAAUGCUGAUCCAUUGGGAUUAUGGUCUCACUGUUUUGUAAAUUAGCCCAAGAAACUGUCUUUGUAAUAUUACUCUUAUCUCUAUAAAAAUAUUUGUUUUUAACAAUG